rnacentral:piRNA from 1 species
AUUCCAGACAGAUCACACAGACAU